AAUGGUCAAUUGUUCUUCCAACACAAACAAGAGAAUGGAACAUUAAAGAUGGUGAUUUACAUGAUAUACCUCUCGAAGAAGAACUUGUCACAUUCACCGCACUAGAAGAUAAUGAUGAAGUUGAUGAUGAUUGUAUUUGUUUCCGUGAAAACGGUGAAGGAUUAUGGGUUGAUGAUAAUGGGUCUUGAGAUGGAGGGUGAUCCAUUUGGUGGUAGUUCUGAUGAGGGGGAGCAUCGCCCUCAUUCUUAGUCAGUGGAACAAGAACAAAAAACUGCGAGAGGACGUACAUGGAUGUCUAAAAACACCAAAAAAAGGAGUGAAGGACAUCUUGCACCUGUUGAAUACAACGAGUAUGGUCAAAUAGUUGGUGAGACUAGAAGCAAUGUUUCAUCACAACUUGGAGCUAUUGUUCGAGCCACUGUGU